UACGAAGGGGGCUAGCGUUGCUCGGAAUUACUGGGCGUAAAGGGCGCGUAGGCGGCACUGUUAGUCAGGCGUGAAAGUCCUGGGCUCAACCUGGGAACUGCGCUUGAUACGGCAGAGCUAGAGGAUGGAAGAGGGUCGCGGAAUUCCCAGUGUAGAGGUGAAAUUCGUAGAUAUUGGGAAGAACACCGGGUGGCGAAGGCGGCGACCUGGUCCAUUACUGACGCUGAGGCGCGACAGCGUGGGGAGCAAACAGG
rnacentral:rRNA from 1 species